rnacentral:rRNA from 1 species
AGUGAACGCUGGCGGUAGGCCUAACACAUGCAAGUCGAACGGCAGCACAGUAAGAGCUUGCUCUUACGGGUGGCGAGUGGCGGACGGGUGAGGAAUACAUCGGAAUCUACUUUUUCGUGGGGGAUAACGUAGGGAAACUUACGCUAAUACCGCAUACGACCUACGGGUGAAAGCAGGGGAUCUUCGGACCUUGCGCGAUUGAAUGAGCCGAUGUCGGAUUAGCUAGUUGGCGGGGUAAAGGCCCACCAAGGCGACGAUCCGUAGCUGGUCUGAGAGGAUGAUCAGCCACACUGGAACUGAGACACGGUCCAGACUCCUACGGGAGGCAGCAGUGGGGAAUAUUGGACAAUGGGCGCAAGCCUGAUCCAGCCAUACCGCGUGGGUGAAGAAGGCCUGCGGGUUGUAAAGCCCUUUGUUGGGAAAGAAAAGCAGCAGGUUAAAACCCCGCUGUUCUGACGGUACCCAAAGAAUAAGCACCGGCUAACUUCGUG